GUCGCUUGUUGUCGAUUGAGAUAAGCCGUAUAAGGGAGGUAACUAGCAUGCUAUAGGUGCUUUGAAGCGAUGGCGUUGAGUCCUCACACGAUUAUUGCCAUAGGGUGGUCGAGUAUAUUUGUCGCCAGCUUCUUCCUGUAUUCCAAUGUCCACAAACACAUGUCUGCUAAGAGGAGGGAUAUCCUGAGACAAAGACGUGAAAGGGCCAGAGAAGAACAAUUGAAACAGAAAGAAUUAGAAAUGCAGACGCAGGCUUCGUGACGGGCUCGGAUAAAAUAUAUCUAAAAUGUUUUAGAUAUGGUGAGGAGCCUGAUAGGAUAACAGCUGUGAUAUAGUAUGAAGAUGGUGUUGACUGGUAUAAAUGUGUGUAGAAAAUAUGUUCACUAGGAAAACUAGUCCGAUGAAAAAUGGCGGAGAGUAUGAUUGGCGACAGAGCACCAUGUUGUUGUUAUGACUACAGCUGACAGUUGAACUAUCAAGUGUUUAUCAUUUGUUUCCGGGUGUGUUUUUGGUGUAUAUGUAUAGAUGGUGUUGAUGUUCCUUCACUUUGAAGGUAUGGCAGAGAAAUCAAAGCACCUGCAGCAAUUUCCUGAAUGUCGACCUGGAGGCAGGAUUCAAGGUUACAUGCAACAAUUUACUUCAAGGAUUUCUCUAGCAUAGCUUUACUGUCAGAGGAGUCCUAUCAAAUAUAUACAUCAAAUAAAUAUUUGUAAGAUG